UACAGAGGGUGCGAGCGUUGUCCGGAAUCACUGGGCGUAAAGGGCGCGUAGGCGGCUUGAUAAGCGUGCGGUGAAAGCCCGGAGCUCAACUCCGGGUCGGCCGUCGAUACUUCCGGGCUUGAGCACUGUAGAGGCAGAUGGAAUUCCGGGUGUAGCGGUGGAAUGCGUAGAGAUCCGGAAGAACACCGGUGGCGAAGGCGGUCUGCUGGGCAGUUGCUGACGCUGAUGCGCGACAGCGUGGGGAGCAAACAGG
rnacentral:rRNA from 1 species